GGGCCUAGCCGUUAAGGACUUGACAUGGAUCAUCACGGCUGUGACUCAGGUUCAGUCCCUGGCCUGGGAACCUCCACCCUCUAUGGGCGCAGCCAAAAACAAACAAACAAACAAAAAACAAACAAAAAAAAAGAUAAAAUCCAUCAACAUUUCCAAGUGUAGAUGCACAUGUUCAUGAAAAGGGAAAGAAAAUGCUCGCUAGCAUUUGCUAGAAAAUGAAGGAAGCAAAACCAUACGAUUCUACUGAUGGGAAAGUUGCUAAAAUAUAUAUUAAUGUGUCCCAGACAUGCAAAAAAAAAAAAGAGGGGAAGGAAAUUUACUGAGAGGUUAGUAGUCUCUCAGUGGCGACAUCAGGAUUUUCUAAAAAUAGUUUAUGUUGUCAGAAUUUUUCAAGAUUUGAUUUAAGUGAAAAAAACAAGCUUUAGAAAGAGGUAAGGAGUUUCUGUUGUGGCACAGCAGAAACGAAUCUGACUAGGGAUCGAACCUGCAAACUCAUGGUUCCUCGUCGGAUUCGUUUCCGCUGCACCACGACGGGAACUCCAUGUUUUCCCCCUCUCUUAAGAAUCUCGUUUAUGAAAGUGAACAGGGAAUUCGUCCUGCUGCUUUUUGCAAGAUGGCUGUGAAAUAUGCGCCUCUCCUGUCACACUCUUUGUGUUCUAGAAUAUGUGGGAAGGGUGAAUUUGCUGUCUCCCUCCUACAUGCCAGGUGCCUUCCCCUGCAUCUUCUUGGUUUACCUGUGUGCACAUAUCCUCACCUGUAUCCAGGUGUAUCCACAGGUGCAUUCAGUGACUUAUCCAAGGUCACCUCGUGAGUGGAGGGCAGACCUUGGUUGUUCACAAGGUCUCUUCUCUCCUACACUCUCCCCAAAGUUGAGGCUUCACCUCUGCCUUUUGCAUCAUGUCAAGGGCCGAAAGGCACCCCCUGCCUGACCUUUUGGCCUGGGAUACGGAAGUUCGUUGACUCUUGCCUGGCAGGGCCGGGAGCUGGCCCUCUUUCCCAAUCAAUGUGUAUCAUUUCGGCAAGACACCGAGUCCGCUGCUGGAGAGAUUGAUCCUCUCGUUAUUUAUCUUCCCCCGCCUGGUGUAAAUUGGUCAGCCUGAUCCUGUCCGCAUGAUAAAAAUCAUAAUGUCUCAAAUUACUUACUCAAUAAAAUGUGGGUUUGUCUAUUAUUAGUGAUCAUUAGGGUUAUAAUGCAGCAUGGAAAUUUGGAGCAAAUUAACUACAUAUGCAAGCUCAUGUGCAGUUAAUCAUACACACACAGUUCCAGUGGGCAGAAGGUUUUGCAAGAAUUGUUUCAGGAAGAAUUGCUGGGAGGGGAGUUCAGUACCCAAGUUAUUAUUUUUUCAUCUCCUGUUCCCUCUUAAUCUGGAUUUCUCAAAAGCACAUUUAUCUCAUACAACAUCGAAUCCUGCAAGUACAAAAAAAAAAAAACAAAAAUAAAACCAAAAAACCUACACGCAGAAUUAUAGCUCAAAGUAAAAUUGCUUUUAAUACGUCCCUUCAUGUGUUCCUGGGUUUUCAGAAUUCCAUGAUGGGCACACACCUAAGGGCACCCUCAUUUUCUCAUCCUUCUUGCCUGGCUGCUCAGAUUCACUCUGAGUCUUUGCUUUUGAGCUUUUCUGUUCAAUGAUGUAAUGGGACAGCCUCUGCUGUUGUAAAGAAAGUUCCCAUCAUACCUGCGCACUGCUGUUUCCUCUGUGACAGAUGCUUCCUGGACACGUGGGCAGGUGAGAGGAGCUGAUUUCGGCUGCUUAUAUCUUCACAUGAGAGAGAUGUAGUUUUGAAUGGCCACGUAAGUCUGAAAAGAAAGAAAGAAAAAAAAAA
rnacentral:lncRNA from 1 species